UCCUCAGAGUGAUGGACAGUCAGUGUAACAUUCCAGAUUUUGGUAUAAAAAUAAAAAUAAAUAAAAAUAGUAUGAGAAACUAUUUUUAUUGGAUUUGUAGAAGUAAAAUAUAAGUCAGAAGUGACUUGUGCUGAAAUCGAAAUGAAAACAGAAGAUUUAGAAUUUUCUGUUGAAAACGGGACAGAUAAAUUAGCAGAAAAUGCACAGUCUCAGAAAAUUAUGAAAAUUGGAGGAUAAGUCAGAAAUAUUUUUAUGAAGCUAGAUUUAAAGUUUCAUAUUUUUCUGACACCCGUAGAGUGAGAAAUAAAAUUCGAGAGUUAUCUGAUAAAGAUUAUAGUUCGGCACAGUUUUCGGUGACCAAAUGGGGUCGAAACUGAAAACUUAAAAUAUAUUCUUACUCAGUA
rnacentral:lncRNA from 1 species